UACGUAGGGUGCGAGCGUUAAUCGGAAUUACUGGGCGUAAAGCGUGCGCAGGCGGUCUGCUAAGAGAGGUGUGAAAUCCCCGGGCUUAACCUGGGAACUGCGCUUCUAACUGGCAGGCUAGAGUGUGGCAGAGGGGGGUGGAAUUCCACGUGUAGCAGUGAAAUGCGUAGAGAUGUGGAGGAACACCGAUGGCGAAGGCAGCCCCCUGGGCUAACACUGACGCUCAUGCACGAAAGCGUGGGGAGCAAACAGG
rnacentral:rRNA from 1 species